CAUUACACACAUACACAACACACAUAUACACACACACAACACACAUACGCACCCAAUACAACAACUUUUUUAGAUUAUGUUUACACUUGGGAGUUUUAUUGCUGUUCAUGACUGAAGGUCGAUGUUUUUGACCCAUCGCAGAAAGCUCAUCCGAGCCGAGCAUCAUGCCCAAGCCUUCAUUGGCGACUCUAGUAGGAGGUUUCCUACUUUUCCGGAUUAUAUUGUCAUCCAAUUUAUAGAAAAAGAAUGAUCCGCGUGACAAAUGGUUGGUUCAAGAUUUAAUUUUCUCAAGAUGUGGUUUCUCCACUUCUUUCAUCAAGCGUCUUGUUGUCCCGAGGAGUUGGAACAUGGAAUACGUCCACUUCACUUAAUCCGUCUGUCUGCUGCAUAGA